rnacentral:rRNA from 1 species
GACGAACGCUGGCGGCGUGCUUAACACAUGCAGUCGAACGGAAAGGCCCUGCCUUUGUGGGGUGCUCGAGUGGCGAACGGGUGAGUAACACGUGAGUAACCUGCCCUUGACUUUGGGAUAACUUCAGGAAACUGGGGCUAAUACCGGAUAGGAGCCCCUGCUGCAUGGUGGGGGUUGGAAAGUUUCGGCGGUUGGGGAUGGACUCGCGGCUUAUCAGCUUGUUGGUGGGGUAGUGGCUUACCAAGGCUUUGACGGGUAGCCGGCCUGAGAGGGUGACCGGCCACAUUGGGACUGAGAUACGGCCCAGACUCCUACGGGAGGCAGCAGUGGGGAAUAUUGCACAAUGGGCGGAAGCCUGAUGCAGCAACGCCGCGUGCGGGAUGACGGCCUUCGGGUUGUAAACCGCUUUCGCCUGUGACGAAGCGUGAGUGACGGUAAUGGGUAAAGAAGCACCGGCUAACUACGUG